rnacentral:rRNA from 1 species
CGCUCGAUGUUUUUCUUUUAUAUCGAGUCGAACCUGCCCAGUGAUUUUUAUUUAACGGCCGCAGUACUCUGACUGUGCAAAGGUAGCAUAAUCAUUUGCCUUAUAAUUGAAGGCUAGUAUGAAUGGUUUGACAAGAAUAACGCUGUCUCUUAUAGAUUUUAUAGAAUUUGGUUUUUAGGUGAAGAAACCUAAAUAUAAUUAAAAGACAAGAAGACCCUAUCGAGCUUAAAAUAAUUUUCUUGGUAUAAUGAUAACACCUUACCCCGCAAAAAAUUUUAGUUGGGGCGACUAAGGAACACAAAAAGCUUCCUAUAAACUAUAAUUACUAAUAAGUAUUGAUCCAAAAAGUUUGAUUAACAGAAUUAGUUACCGUAGGGAUAACAGCAUAAUCUUUUCUAAGAGUC